rnacentral:rRNA from 1 species
CCUACGGGAGGCUGCAGUGAGGAAUAUUGGUCAAUGGACGCAAGUCUGAACCAGCCAUGCCGCGUGCAGGAAGACGGCUCUAUGAGUUGUAAACUGCUUUUGUACGAGGGCAAAUGCAGAUACGUGUAUCUGUCUGAAAGUAUCGUACGAAUAAGGAUCGGCUAACUCCGUGCCAGCAGCCGCGGUAAUACGGAGGGUUCAAGCGUUAUCCGGAUUUAUUGGGUUUAAAGGGUGCGUAGGCGGUCGGAUAAGUUAGAGGUGAAAUCCCGAGGCUCAACUUCGGAAUUGCCUCGGAUACUGUUCGGCUAGAGAGUAGUUGCGGUAGGCGGAAUGUAUGGUGUAGCAGUGAAAUGCUUAGAGAUCAUACAGAACACCGAUGGCGAAGGCAGCUUACCAAGCUACUUCUGACGUUGAGGCACGAAAGCGUGGGGAGCAAACAGGAUUAGAUACCCGGGUAGUC